rnacentral:rRNA from 1 species
GUCGAGCGGUAGAGAGAAGCUUGCUUCUCUUGAGAGCGGCGGACGGGUGAGUAAUGCCUAGGAAUCUGCCUGGUAGUGGGGGAUAACGUUCGGAAACGGACGCUAAUACCGCAUACGUCCUACGGGAGAAAGCAGGGGACCUUCGGGCCUUGCGCUAUCAGAUGAGCCUAGGUCGGAUUAGCUAGUUGGUGAGGUAAUGGCUCACCAAGGCGACGAUCCGUAACUGGUCUGAGAGGAUGAUCAGUCACACUGGAACUGAGACACGGUCCAGACUCCUACGGGAGGCAGCAGUGGGGAAUAUUGGACAAUGGGCGAAAGCCUGAUCC